UACGUAGGUGACAAGCGUUGUCCGGAUUUACUGGGCGUAAAGAGCGCGCAGGCGGUCGAUCAAGUCGAGUGUGAAAGCCCCCGGCUCAACUGGGGAGGGUCAUUCGAUACUGAUCGACUCGAAGGCAGGAGAGGGUAGUGGAAUUCCCGGUGUAGUGGUGAAAUGCGUAGAUAUCGGGAGGAACACCGGUGGCGAAGGCGACAUCCUGGACCGGUAUUGACGCUGAGGCGCGAAAGCCAGGGGAGCAAACGGG
rnacentral:rRNA from 1 species